AUAUUUUGAACCGCAUGGUUCAAAAGUAAAAGACGGUCUUGCUGUCACUUAUAGAUGGAUCCGCGCUGCAUUAGCUAGUUGGUAAGGUAACGGCUUACCAAGGCAACGAUGCAUAGCCGACCUGAGAGGGUGAUCGGCCACACUGGAACUGAGACACGGUCCAGACUCCUACGGGAGGCAGCAGUAGGGAAUCUUCCGCAAUGGGCGAAAGCCUGACGGAGCAACGCCGCGUGAGUGAUGAAGGUCUUCGGAUCGUAAAACUCUGUUAUUAGGGAAGAACAUAUGUGUAAGUAACUGUGCACAUCUUGACGGUACCUAAUCAGAAAGCCACGGCUAACUACGUGCCAGCAGCCGCGGUAAUACGUAGGUGGCAAGCGUUAUCCGGAAUUAUUGGGCGUAAAGCGCGCGUAGGCGGUUUUUUAAGUCUGAUGUGAAAGCCCACGGCUCAACCGUGGAGGGUCAUUGGAAACUGGAAAACUUGAGUGCAGAAGAGGAAAGUGGAAUUCCAUGUGUAGCGGUGAAAUGCGCAGAGAUAUGGAGGAACACCAGUGGCGAAGGCGACUUUCUGGUCUGUAACUGACGCUGAUGUGCGAAAGCGUGGGGAUCAAACAGGAUUAGAUACCCUGGUAGUCCACGCCGUAAACGAUGAGUGCUAAGUGUUAGGGGGUUUCCGCCCCUUAGUGCUGCAGCUAACGCAUUAAGCACUCCGCCUGGGGAGUACGACCGCAAGGUUGAAACUCAAAGGAAUUGACGGGGACCCGCACAAGCGGUGGAGCAUGUGGUUUAAUUCGAAGCAACGCGAAGAACCUUACCAAAUCUUGACAUCCUUUGACAACUCUAGAGAUAGAGCCUUCCCCUUCGGGGGACAAAGUGACAGGUGGUGCAUGGUUGUCGUCAGCUCGUGUCGUGAGAUGUUGGGUUAAGUCCCGCAACGAGCGCAACCCUUAAGCUUAGUUGCCAUCAUUAAGUUGGGCACUCUAAGUUGACUGCCGGUGACAAACCGGAGGAAGGUGGGGAUGACGUCAAAUCAUCAUGCCCCUUAUGAUUUGGGCUACACACGUGCUACAAUGGACAAUACAAAGGGCAGCGAAACCGCGAGGUCAAGCAAAUCCCAUAAAGUUGUUCUCAGUUCGGAUUGUAGUCUGCAACUCGACUACAUGAAGCUGGAAUCGCUAGUAAUCGUAGAUCAGCAUGCUACGGUGAAUACGUUCCCGGGUCUUGUACACACCGCCCGUCACACCACGAGAGUUUGUAACACCCGAAGCCGGUGGAGUAACCUUUUAGGAGCUAGCCGUCGAAGGUGGGACAAAUGAUUGGGGUGAAGUCGUAACAAGGUAGCCGUAUCGGAAGGUGCGGCUGGAUCACCUCCUUUCUAAGGA
rnacentral:rRNA from 1 species